AUACCCUACUAUMCUAAAAUUAUCUUAGGUAGUAUUAUUUUAUAUAAGAAACCUAUGUAGUUUGGCGGCAUUUAAUCAUCUUAGAGGAAUCUGUCUCUUAAUCGACAUUCCACGAUAUUUUUUACUUUUAUUUAUAUCUUAUAUACCUCCAUCUUAAGGAUUAUUAUGUAUAAUCUCCCCUUAAUAGAAUUCUAAUAAGUUAGGUAAAGGUGUAGAACAUAUAAAAGAUGAGAUGGAUUACAUUAAAUAUUAUUUAAGGAAAUUUAAUAAAAUUUUUAUUAGAAAAAGGAUUUAUUAGUAAUUUAAAAAUAUUAUUUUUUAAUGAAUAAGAUAAAAAAUGUGC
rnacentral:rRNA from 1 species